AGUGGGGAAUAUUGGACAAUGGGCGAAAGCCUGAUCCAGCAAUGCCGCGUGAGUGAUGAAGGCCUUAGGGUUGUAAAGCUCUUUUACCCGGGAUGAUAAUGACAGUACCGGGAGAAUAAGCCCCGGCUAACUCCGUGCCAGCAGCCGCGGUAAUACGGAGGGGGCUAGCGUUGUUCGGAAUUACUGGGCGUAAAGCGCACGUAGGCGGCUUUGUAAGUUAGAGGUGAAAGCCCAGGGCUCAACCCUGGAAUUGCCUUUAAGACUGCAUCGCUUGAACAUCGGAGAGGUAAGUGGAAUUCCGAGUGUAGAGGUGAAAUUCGUAGAUAUUCGGAAGAACACCAGUGGCGAAGGCGACUUACUGGACGAUUGUUGACGCUGAGGUGCGAAAGCGUGGGGAGCAAA
rnacentral:rRNA from 1 species